GGUUAAGCGACUAAGCGUACACGGUGGAUGCCCUGGCAGUCAGAGGCGAUGAAGGACGUGCUAAUCUGCGAUAAGCGUCGGUGAGGUGAUAUGAACCGUUAUAACCGGCGAUUUCCGAAUGGGGAAACCCAGUGUGUUUCGACACACUAUCAUUAACUGAAUCCAUAGGUUAAUGAGGCGAACCGGGGGAACUGAAACAUCUAAGUACCCCGAGGAAAAGAAAUCAACCGAGAUUCCCCCAGUAGCGGCGAGCGAACGGGGAGCAGCCCAGAGCCUGAAUCAGUGUGUGUGUUAGUGGAAGCGUCUGGAAAGGCGCGCGAUACAGGGUGACAGCCCCGUACACAAAAAUGCACAUACUGUGAGCUCGAUGAGUAGGGCGGGACACGUGGUAUCCUGUCUGAAUAUGGGGGGACCAUCCUCCAAGGCUAAAUACUCCUGACUGACCGAUAGUGAACCAGUACCGUGAGGGAAAGGCGAAAAGAACCCCGGCGAGGGGAGUGAAAAAGAACCUGAAACCGUGUACGUACAAGCAGUGGGAGCCUCUUUUAUGGGGUGACUGCGUACCUUUUGUAUAAUGGGUCAGCGACUUAUAUUCUGUAGCAAGGUUAACCGAAUAGGGGAGCCGAAGGGAAACCGAGUCUUAACUGGGCGUUAAGUUGCAGGGUAUAGACCCGAAACCCGGUGAUCUAGCCAUGGGCAGGUUGAAGGUUGGGUAACACUAACUGGAGGACCGAACCGACUAAUGUUGAAAAAUUAGCGGAUGACUUGUGGCUGGGGGUGAAAGGCCAAUCAAACCGGGAGAUAGCUGGUUCUCCCCGAAAGCUAUUUAGGUAGCGCCUCGUGAAUUCAUCUCCGGGGGUAGAGCACUGUUUCGGCAAGGGGGUCAUCCCGACUUACCAACCCGAUGCAAACUGCGAAUACCGGAGAAUGUUAUCACGGGAGACACACGGCGGGUGCUAACGUCCGUCGUGAAGAGGGAAACAACCCAGACCGCCAGCUAAGGUCCCAAAGUCAUGGUUAAGUGGGAAACGAUGUGGGAAGGCCCAGACAGCCAGGAUGUUGGCUUAGAAGCAGCCAUCAUUUAAAGAAAGCGUAAUAGCUCACUGGUCGAGUCGGCCUGCGCGGAAGAUGUAACGGGGCUAAACCAUGCACCGAAGCUGCGGCAGCGACACUAAGUGUUGUUGGGUAGGGGAGCGUUCUGUAAGCCUGUGAAGGUGUACUGUGAGGUAUGCUGGAGGUAUCAGAAGUGCGAAUGCUGACAUAAGUAACGAUAAAGCGGGUGAAAAGCCCGCUCGCCGGAAGACCAAGGGUUCCUGUCCAACGUUAAUCGGGGCAGGGUGAGUCGACCCCUAAGGCGAGGCCGAAAGGCGUAGUCGAUGGGAAACAGGUUAAUAUUCCUGUACUUGGUGUUACUGCGAAGGGGGGACGGAGAAGGCUAUGUUGGCCGGGCGACGGUUGUCCCGGUUUAAGCGUGUAGGCUGGUUUUCCAGGCAAAUCCGGAAAAUCAAGGCUGAGGCGUGAUGACGAGGCACUACGGUGCUGAAGCAACAAAUGCCCUGCUUCCAGGAAAAGCCUCUAAGCAUCAGGUAACAUCAAAUCGUACCCCAAACCGACACAGGUGGUCAGGUAGAGAAUACCAAGGCGCUUGAGAGAACUCGGGUGAAGGAACUAGGCAAAAUGGUGCCGUAACUUCGGGAGAAGGCACGCUGAUAUGUAGGUGAAGUCCCUCGCGGAUGGAGCUGAAAUCAGUCGAAGAUACCAGCUGGCUGCAACUGUUUAUUAAAAACACAGCACUGUGCAAACACGAAAGUGGACGUAUACGGUGUGACGCCUGCCCGGUGCCGGAAGGUUAAUUGAUGGGGUUAGCGGUAACGCGAAGCUCUUGAUCGAAGCCCCGGUAAACGGCGGCCGUAACUAUAACGGUCCUAAGGUAGCGAAAUUCCUUGUCGGGUAAGUUCCGACCUGCACGAAUGGCGUAAUGAUGGCCAGGCUGUCUCCACCCGAGACUCAGUGAAAUUGAACUCGCUGUGAAGAUGCAGUGUACCCGCGGCAAGACGGAAAGACCCCGUGAACCUUUACUAUAGCUUGACACUGAACAUUGAGCCUUGAUGUGUAGGAUAGGUGGGAGGCUUUGAAGUGUGGACGCCAGUCUGCAUGGAGCCGGCCUUGAAAUACCACCCUUUAAUGUUUGAUGUUCUAACGUUGGCCCCUGACCGGGGUUGCGGACAGUGUCUGGUGGGUAGUUUGACUGGGGCGGUCUCCUCCUAAAGAGUAACGGAGGAGCACGAAGGUUGGCUAAUCCUGGUCGGACAUCAGGAGGUUAGUGCAAUGGCAUAAGCCAGCUUGACUGCGAGCGUGACGGCGCGAGCAGGUGCGAAAGCAGGUCAUAGUGAUCCGGUGGUUCUGAAUGGAAGGGCCAUCGCUCAACGGAUAAAAGGUACUCCGGGGAUAACAGGCUGAUACCGCCCAAGAGUUCAUAUCGACGGCGGUGUUUGGCACCUCGAUGUCGGCUCAUCACAUCCUGGGGCUGAAGUAGGUCCCAAGGGUAUGGCUGUUCGCCAUUUAAAGUGGUACGCGAGCUGGGUUUAGAACGUCGUGAGACAGUUCGGUCCCUAUCUGCCGUGGGCGCUGGAGAACUGAGGGGGGCUGCUCCUAGUACGAGAGGACCGGAGUGGACGCAUCACUGGUGUUCGGGUUGUCAUGCCAAUGGCACUGCCCGGUAGCUAAAUGCGGAAGAGAUAAGUGCUGAAAGCAUCUAAGCACGAAACUUGCCCCGAGAUGAGUUCUCCCUGACUCCUUGAGAGUCCUGAAGGAACGUUGAAGACGACGACGUUGAUAGGCCGGGUGUGUAAGCGCAGCGAUGCGUUGAGCUAACCGGUACUAAUGAACCGUGAGGCUUAACCUU
rnacentral:rRNA from 1 species